UGCUGCUGCUGCAUCUGCUGCUGUUGUUGUUGCUGUUGCAUCUGCUGCUGUUGCAUCUGCUGCUGCUGCAUCUGCUGCUGCUGCUGUUGCA